CUUAAAUCAUGGAACUCCUCGCCUGCUGUCACAGACUGGUAUGGAGCCUAACAGGACACCUGGAUUUCAAUCCAGAUUCUUCAUAGAAAUAUGGAAAUUAGUGCACCUUCACAGACUAUCCUGAGCUGGAAUAGACCAUCAAGUCCAACUCCUCGCCCUACACAGGACAAGCCCAAGAAUCCCAACACGUGCCUGAGAACAUUGCCCAAGCACUUCUUGAACUCUUGGAGGCUUGCUACCAUAAUUGCUUCACUGGGGAGUCUGCUCCAGUGCACAACCACUCUCUGGCUGAAAAAACUUUUCCUAAUAUCCAACCUAGAGUUCACCUGUCCCCAUGAACAACAAAACAAGUCUCAGUCAUCAAAUGCCUAGACAGCAGUUGCUUGUUAGAAGAGGAACCAAAACGUUUCUCUUCCAAAGGCAGAAGCACUGAAAGCACUUGGGGAAGAGCUUUACUGGGUUUACACAACAGGGCAGAGGUGGAGGAGGGCAGCAGAGGUGGCUUCUGCGAGGAGACAUCAGCAGCUGUCUCAUGUCAGACAGAUGGUUCUACAGAAUCAAAUCACAGAGUCACAGAAUACCGAGCUGGAAGGGACCUCAAGAGUCAUCCGGUCCAACCUCUUGGCAAAAUCACAAAUAGAUUCUUCUUAUUGUUACCUAUUUUAUUUUUCAUGAUGUUUAUUUUACUUACAAGCUUUUAUAGUAGAAAAUUAAUCCUAAUGGUGAUAUCUAUUUUGAUUUACAUAAUAUCUUUCUGAGACCAAGAGUACCUUUGUAAACAGACACUAUUACCCACAUCUGGCAUGCAAACCUCUCUUUAAUCAACUUGCAAAUCAACUAAUAUGAGCAGUAGAACAAAUUAGAUGACCGAGGCAAUGCAGCACCUUGUAUCCUGCUUUAA